AGUUCUUACAUUCCUGAUGGGAGGAGUUGUUAAAGUGUAUUUGUAACUCCUGCUAAGAGUACGGAAUAGGGUUCCAAAAAGUGACUUUGUGGAUUGUCAUUAGUUUUCUGUGUGUACGUGUGUGUCUCAUAUGAGCCUUAUUUAAAGUAGGCCCACGUCAUGCAUCCCUUGGAAGAGGGAUCAUUGCCUGAUUUUACUUAUAAACGUAGAUGUUUACACGGUUUGCAUAAAGUUUGUGUUUACUUCUGUAUUUAAUACUUCAGAAAUAGUAAUUAGGCAAAUUGACAUUUGGAGUAAAUACAGAAGAAGAAUAACAUGGUAAAAUUAAUAUCCCUUAAUUAUUUUCUUCUUAGAUAAGUGAAACUUGAGCAAUCAAAUCUCUGUGUUAUUUUUAAACAUCUUUAUUAAGAUAUAAUUAACGUACUAUAAAAUUCACCAGUUUGAAAUCUACAAUUUAAUGAUUUAGUAUAUUCACAGAAUUAUGAAACCAUCACAAUAAUCCAAUUUUAGAUUAUUUUUGUCACCCCCUAUAAGAAAGUCCCUACCUAUUAGCAUUUUUGUGUCUGUUUUUAUAACAAGCUAUAAAAUAGAGCUAGACUAGAGCUUUAGUUCCUGGCUUCUAGUCUGAACAGAGACCGUUAGGCAUCUCUUCAUAAUUUAAUAACACAGUUGAUGUCAGUAGCAACUAAUUAAGGUAUCACAGAGCAGAAUUAUUUCUUUAAUGAUGAACAAACUUUUAAACAGAAGUUUAAAAGCUUUCAUGAACACACUUUUCAACCAAAGAGCCACUUAGAAGCAACCAAGUUACUUUCCCAGCUUACGGAAAUUAGUGGCUAACCUUUGCCCCUGGCUCCGGAUACGGGUCCGAGACUAAACAGUGUUAGUGGUGGAGGUUAGAUGUGAGAGAGGGCUUCCCAGACGUUUCUGAGGAGCCAUAGCACAAUGGGAAAGCAUACUCUCGAGUCCUAAAGAUCGGACUAUUCUGUUAUUUACUAGCUCUGUGAACUUGGGAAAUUUAUUUAACCUGAGGCUCUUUCCUGUUGUAUAAAAUGGGAAAAGUGAUGGCUGCCUUUGGGGGUUAUUGUGAGAGUUAAAUGACAGAGCCCAGUGCUGGAGACAUAUCAGCCCAUGACAUGAGAGCUGUCAUUAUACUUGUUCAAGCUCUGCCCUCAAGGCUGUGAAGGAUGGCCAGGGGAAUUAGUGCCCUUCUCUUUGCUGCGUGCCUAUAAAAAGAGAAACUUCUGCCUGUGAAGAGUAGGUUACCUGAGUAUGAGACCUGAACUGUAGAUCCCCUGGGUGGAGAAGUCAUUGCCUGAGACAGAUAGGAAGUGCCAGGGAGAGCGGAGGCAUGGAGGCCGUGUGACCCCUCUGUGGGUGAGGAGUUUGGGCCUUGGUGAGUGGGAGAUUGUUACUUCCUCCCCCAAGUGUAUUUUAAAUAAAACACACUUGAGAAAGCUAAAUCAUUACCAGUAUUCCUGAAUUCAAGUGAUGAGAAAUUAAGUUAUAAUACUACCCAGUCUUCUACGAAGUUAACCAACAAAAACAUGAAUUUGGGCCUAACGUGGAUCCUUGAACAGCCUCCCAAGGGACCUGGAUAUUCAGAGACCACAUUUCAGUGUCAGCUCACCUAUGUGCUGAGUAACUGUCUGUUAAACCGGCUUACUAAGUUGCAAGGAGAAAAACCUGGCUUUUAAUACCGGUUCUGUCACAUCCUGAUGCUGUGUGUGACCUUUGCUUCCUGUAUAUGCUGAUGAAUCAAUAGGACUCAGUGACAUUAUCUACUUGCUUCUGAUUCUACAACGCUACCAUUGGAAGCAUUGCGGAGUGGUAGGCCAUCAUACAUCCCAAGGGCUACUUUAUUACAAAGCUUGUUGUUUUGCUCUGUGUUGAGUACCUGAAAUGAUGUGACAUUUCCCUCAAUCAGAUCUGACAGAUUCUCUACCCAUUAUAUUAUGUUUUUAUACUCACCAAUGCUCUUACUCAAAUCAUACCAUUUUGCAGGAAUGUUGAAUUGAAUUUGAAGGCUACUCUUCCAACUUUGGUUAAAAUCCUCUUAACUAUUAGCAGAAUGUUUUUUCUCAAAAUAGGGUCAGAGCAAUAUAAAGAAACAUAUGAAUUAUUGGGGAAAAGUGGUCUUGUCUAGCAUCAUGGGUUUUUUGGCUGAGAAAACAGGUGCCCCAAGAAAUUAAGCAUUCAAAAGCGUGCAGCUCACCUUUUAUCCACAUGGAGUGAUCAGAAGUGAUCUCUGUUACUCCCCUCCUGCCGUUGGGUAGACUUUUCCUCCAAGAUGUUAGUGUCGAAGUCUUCUAUGUAAGAGUGCUCACUGUGGGUCUUUGAGGGUUACUAGAGAUGGAAAUACUGGUGCCGGAGACCCAGGGAUAAAGGAGAGGAGAGGCUGUUUGGAGGGCUGGCCUGUAGGAUGGAAAUGGAAACGUUGGGUCCUGGGAAGGGAGGGACAAUUCCUCUCGUGCUGCCGUGUUAGUCAGGGUUCUCCAGAGAAAUGGAACCAGUAGAUGAGAUACACAGAGAGGUAUUUUUAUUUUAAGGAAUUGACUCGUGAUUGUGGGAGCUUCAAAGUCCAGAAUCCAUAGGGCCAGCCCGCAGCCUAGAGUCUCGAGUCUCCAGUCCUGUGUUGCAGUCUUGAGCCUCUCUUUACUUUCCCUGGAAAAGACAAUUUGGGGAUUGUUUUUCCUCAAAGUGGAGUGAAAAGGAUAGAUGUGCUUCACAGAAGUUGCAUGAGAUUUACUGAUUAUGAUUUAAGGGCACUAAGAGAGGCUGAGAUUAAGUUAACCCCGUGAGUAAUCCUUUUCUACGGGCUGAGUUUCAUAGUUUAACGACAGUGUGUGGUCAGCCCUGGGAGCACGACUGGGAAAAAGAGCGAGACGUGCUCCUGCCGUGCAGGGGCUGCGGGGAGAGGCGACGCUGGCCCCUCGUCGUUCCGCUGUGUAGGGACCAGUGUUAGAAACAUAUUUUCUGACUGGAGCAGGGUCUGGUUGGGUGAGAGACCACCAGCUAAAGCUAAGAAAGUGGUAUUUCAUGUAGGUCUCGAGGUAGGUCUGAAAGUAAACCAGGUGGAUUGGGAGGGGAAUCUGAGCCGAGGGGCUAGGGGACGAAGGGCACAGAGCUGAGAAAGCCCAUGGGGCUUUCAGGGAGAAUCUGAGUGAUUCCAUGCAGCUAGAUGAAUAAAAACAGAUUCAGAUACCUUCAGAAUAGAUCUUCUCAGACAGGUGCACCUGUGUCCUUGCACUUAAGUCCAGAAAGCAUCUACUGUCAGUUGAUUCAUGUAAUAUUUGGUGGUGGUUUUGUACUGUGAACGUCUGCUGUAAUACUGACUGGCUUAAUUAUAACUUGGAAGUUAAUUGAAGAAUUUGAAAUUUGUCUUUGUGAAUCUGUGGCUUCUAAUUUUAUUCUGGAACACCUAGACCAAAAACUAUACUUGCCAAGAUGUUUAAAGGAUAACAGGUAAGAUUCAUUCAGGGAUUUCGACAUGCCAGGUACUGUUCUAAAUGCCUUAUGUACGUUUAUUCAUUGCAUGCUCACAACAGCUCCAUGAGGACUUGGAGAAAUGAGUGGUUGAAAAGGCUGCCCGUGGUCACACGGUAGUAAGUGGUAGAAGCAGGAUUUGAACCCCAGGCAUUUGGCUCCACGACUGGCACUCUUCAGCUCUACCUUCUAAUGCCUCUUAAUUAAGAUACGGUUUUAGUGCUCCUGUUUUCUGUGAAGACCAGUUAGGUCAAAAGAAACUGCAGCACAUUUUUCUUUGUUAUGUAAAAGAGAAAAAGCCCCCAUAGCAUUCCAGUUUUAUGAAAGGAUACCUGAGAGACGUAACUUCUAUAACAAUUUAGAACAUACUUAGAGCCCUCUCUCCAGCCCUUUCAUAACAAGGGAAAAGUACAGAUCCCAAGUAUAAGUGACAUCUACUAGUAACUCCUUUCUUUUUUGUUUUUGUUUCCAACCUUAUCUCCCAAACCGAGCUCUUCUAUCUAGAAGGAGGUUCCUUUCCCGUCAUCCCUCUUUGCCCCAGAGGCACCUGCCCACUCUCAUCAGGCUUGAAGCCCAGCUGUCCUCUUGUGCUCUUCCUCCCUUGGAGCGUUUACCGAGGUCCUUCCUCCUGUGGAUGCUGGGCACUCGGGAUAAAACAAUAAGAAGAUUUACGUAGUGCCUUUGAGAUGCUCAGAAUCUCAGAGAUGUCAGAAGCCAGGCACAGAAAUGAUUUCAGUAGAAAGAGAUCAACUGUAUUCUUGAGGUCGUCCCCUUCCCAGGCCACCUGUCCUCGCUGUCUAUGACCAUUCAUCUUUCAGAGACGCGGGUCUUCCCCAUCGUCCCACGUUCAGAAUCCUCGCCCGUUUCCUGUAAGCUGAAGUCUGGAGUCCCCCGUUGGCAUUCAGACCCUGGCCACCCCAUUUCCACCUUGCUUCUCCUGUGCUCCCUGGCGGGAACUGCCAGCAGCAGCCGGGCUGGCCUCCUUUGCCCCUGCAGUCAUCCUGCCAGCAGCCCACGGAGUCCCCUUUCCAGACGCCUUGGUCCUUUUCCUCUGCCUCUCCAGCUGCUGCUCAUCUCGUCAGUAUUGUGCUCAGGGCUGGCCUCUUCUCGGGGAGUCUUUGCCAGCCUCUACCGGUCUCUCCACCCUGCACAUCCUUAAGAGCACUUGUGCGUGUGCUUGGGAGCUCACUGUCCUGUCUCACCUUGUAGAGAGGACAGAGCACGAGCUUUACAUCAUCAGACGGUCCUGGACGAGACGAUCUGUCUACUCCUGAACGAGCCUUUUGCCGUGAACGAGUUUCUUAACCGCUCUGAGCCUCAGACGCCUCGUUGCACAGCAGCUACGAGGCUGUGAGGUGCCACGCGUGGUGACUUGACCCACAGGCAGAAGAGUUCACCUUUAAGUUCAGAGCGGUAAAUUCACUGGUAAAGUGUAAUGAAAGAACUGGAAGUGGAAGGGCACAGUCUUGACACAAGGGUCACUGGUGAUAGUCCAGUGCGUGUGGCCCCUCCGUGUUACCUACCCCACCAUUAGAAUGAGAGGUUCGUGCUCUCACGGAAUUUGCAUUAGGACCAAAGAGGUUCUGUCAAACAGCUGGUUGUGUAUGUGUUAUGUAAUUGCGGUGUAAUUCUUUUCUGACCAUUCUGCAGAAGUAGAUUAUCACCCAGCAAGGCCUACACUGACUUUCAGUUCUCAGCUUAAACGUCACUGAAACUCUCCUUGCUUCCUCAGCCUCCUGGUGUCCAUCUAUCCAACAACUCACGGUACACAUAUUACUUAUUUAGCCAUUGCUCUUUCCAGACACUACUCUGUUCCAGGCAGGGUGUCCAUAUGCCCUGGGCUUCUUGCAUGGUCUGUGUUGUUUCCCUUUCAGUGUGGUUGCUUGUGUGAUCCCUGGCUUCCCCUCUCACCUCUGAGCCAAGCCCAUUUCUGUCUUGUUCAGUGCCCCCCGGUGCCUGGCAUGGAGGGGCGCUCAGCACAGAUUUGUUAACGAGGAAUCGAACGAAGGCCAGGAUGGAGGCCGUACCAGUGAAAGCACUGCCUAGACUUUGUGCGUAACUGACUGUGGGAGAUGCUUCAAAGGCGAGUCCUGGGCUUGGGGUGUGGCUGGUAGGGAGAUGGGGGAUGGUCACCAUCAUCAAUAGAGAAGUCAGGAAAUGAAACUGGUUUCGGUGGGAGAAUGGUCAACUCGAUUAGACUGAUUUAUUAUAGUGGGGCGGUCAAGUGGAAUUGUUUAUUGGCGAUGUUGCACUCAGAAGGUCAGUGUACACAUGGUAUAUUUUGGAGUUCUCUUUGGAACUGAUCAUGGACCCCCUGAGCCUUUGUGGAUGGUCAGGGAAGAGUGGAGCACGAGGUUGGUACCUGGGAGGGGAGGAACAUGCAGGGACUAAACAUCACAUUUACCAAGUGUUCCACUGCCACACAGAUGAAUUGGAUCCAAGCCUUCCCUCCUGAGUUAAAGAACAACUAACUGGUCACCAUCUUCCAUGAAAUAAUCUUCCUUCUACCUAAGAAAUGUUCUAUAUUGUAUUUUGGGCAUCAUAAAAUUUAACCAUUCAUUUCAACAUGUAUUUAUUGAGCACCUGCUAUGUAGCAGGUACUUUUCCAGGUGCAGGGAGUGCAAUAAUAAAAUGUAAUCCUUGACUUUAUGAUGGUGAGAAUUAUACAAAAACCAAGUUUAUAUGUAUCAAACGGUGAUAAUUGCUCUAGAGAAAAAUAAAGUAGAAGAAUAAUUUAGGUGCACAGUCCUUUACUCAAAAUCCUUGAGACAAGAUGUAUUUGGAGCAUGGGAACAUAAUAUGACACAUAUACCGUCUAUUAACAUCCUUAGUGGAGUUACAAGUAGCCUCAUGUUAGCUUAGGUCAACUUUUGUCACCUAAUGAGUUAACAAAAUUAAGUUUUGCCAUUAAAUAUAAUAAGUUAUGUAAUAGCUUAAUUUCCAAGUUGGUUUCGGUUGUUUUAGAUUUUCAGAGCUAACAUGUAGUGCUUACGCUAAGUUCCAGGCGUUCUUCUAAAAGCACAGUCCGUACACACACAUAUACACUCAUGUAAUCCUCAUAACAACCCUACAACUGUUAGUUAUAGAGCUGUUAGUCCCCUUUACAGAUGGGAGAACUGAAGCACAGAGAGAGUCAACAAGUGCCCAGGAACCCAGUAACAUCCUCAGACACUAUGCUAUCCCUUUGUCAGGAAGGGAGGCUGCUCAUGAAUAGGAUGAUCAGGGAGGGCCUCAGUGACGUGGUGACAUUUAAGCAGAGACCUGAAAGAAGCGAGGGAGCCGUGUGGAUGGAGAGCUGGGGGAAAGCGUUCUGGGCAGAGAGGAGUUGGGGAUAUUCUGGUUUGUGAUUGAGAAACCAAAUGGGUAUUGCUGGAGUGAGUGGGAUUGGAGGGCCGGGGAGGUCAGAGCAGUAACUGGCAUUUUGGUCAAGAUAAUCCUUUGUUGUGCAGAAUGGUCCUGUGCGUUAUAGGGUGUUUAGUAACCUGGGCCUCGCAUACGAACCGCCAUGUCAUGGUGAAAGCCAUCCAAAUGCCCCAUGCCUUUCUAAAUAUCCCCUAGAUUGUCUCUCCUGGUGGAUGAUAUUGUCGUCUUUGAGAAUAAUUCAGAACUCUGUGAACAACUGA